rnacentral:rRNA from 1 species
AUUGAACGCUGGCGGCAGGCCUAACACAUGCAAGUCGAACGGUAACAGGGAUCAGCUUGCUGAUUCGCUGACGAGUGGCGGACGGGUGAGUAAUGUCUGGGAAACUGCCUGAUGGAGGGGGAUAACUACUGGAAACGGUAGCUAAUACCGCAUAACGUCGCAAGAGCAAAGAGGGGGACCUUCGGGCCUCUUGCCAUCGGAUGUGCCCAGAUGGGAUUAGCUAGUAGGUGGGGUAACGGCUCACCUAGGCGACGAUCCCUAGCUGGUCUGAGAGGAUGACCAGCCACACUGGAACUGAGACACGGUCCAGACUCCUACGGGAGGCAGCAGUGGGGAAUAUUGCACAAUGGGCGCAAGCCUGAUGCAGCCAUGCCGCGUGUAUGAAGAAGGCCUUCGGGUUGUAAAGUACUUUCAGCGGGGAGGAAGGGAGUAAAGUUAAUACCUUUGCUCAUUGACGUUACCCGCAGAAGAAGCACCGGCUAACUCCGUG